rnacentral:rRNA from 1 species
CGAACGCUGGCAGCGUGGAUUAGGCAUGCAAGUCGGACGGGAUCGGGAAGGUAGCAAUACUGGCCCGUGAGAGUGGCGGAAGGGCGAGGAACACGUGGGCAACCUGUCCUUGAGGUGGGGAAAACCGCUGGAAACGGCGGCUAAUACCGAAUGUGGCGCCGGGAGGCAUCUUCCGAGCGCUAAAGGGGGCGAAAGCUCCCCCUCUUCGAGGGGCUCGCGCACCAUCAGCUAGUUGGCGGGGUAACGGCCCACCAAGGCUCACGGUUAGCUGGUCUGAGAGGAUGGCCAGCCGCACUGGGACUGAGAUACUGCCCAGACUCCUACGGGAGGCUGCAGUCGAGGAUCAUUCGCAAUGGGGGAAACCCUGACGAUGCGACGCUGCGUGGAAGGAUGAAGGCCCUCGGGUCGUAAACUCCUGUCAUGAGGGAAAAGGCGAGGGGGCCCAACACGUCCCUUAGUUGAUGGUACCUCAAGAGGAACGGGCGGCUAACUCUGUGCCAGCCGCAGC